CAGAGGUAAACUUAUACACAAAUAGUCAAAUUAGUAAAAUUUCUAUUGUUCCAUUUGUUUUGCCAAUUGCCGGUAUUUUCAAGCUGAGGAAUAAUCUAUGGUCUCAUUGGAGGCUUAGAGUGCGUUGCUAUUAGCUUUUUGUUUAUUCUGGUUUAGACAUUACGAUUUGGUUUUUCCUUGCCGAAUCUUCUGUAUUUAAUUACUGGGCCUGGGUUUUCCUUGGUUGUCUCAUAGUUGAUUCCUUCUGCAAUUGCUGACUACUCACACACCCCUUUUUAUUUUUGCAUUUUCCAGGUAUUUCUCUAGUCUAUAUGAACUGUAUAGUUGAGCAAAACUUGAAGAAAUACAAGUUGUUUAAAUUUGAGCCUCCUUUAAUUUAUCGAUUUUGUUUUACAUCAUGUAAUAAUUAUGUGGCAAUGAUGGUUGUUUAAGUUAAAAUGUACG
rnacentral:lncRNA from 1 species